CUAACUCUCAAAACUUGAAAUUAGACAUCUUCUCUCUCAGCCUCAACCUAGAACACAUCGAUCUCACCAUCCACGAACUCUGUCGGCCAGCUCCGACAAAGGACGACAACUGCCGGUGAAUGACGACCAGUUUCGGCUAACAUACGACAAUCUCUGAGGAUCAUUAUCUAUUGGUGAAUUUUAGCCAAAGCACUUGAGACUUUAGAUAGUGAAAACGAAUCAUGUGCAAUUAUGUUGAUUCUGCUUCCAUGCAUUCAACAAAAAGAAGGUUGUGAAGAGAGAUUGCUGCUCUGCAUGAGGUAGAGUUUCAACGAGGAAUUAAGAAUCGGUAGGGAGCAUAAUGCUUUUAUCUUCUAGUUUUUUUGGUUUAUUUUAUUAUUAUCAAAGCAAGAGAUGUGGAUUACAUUCUUGCUUGUACUAAAACAAAGAGGUUAUGAAUGUUAAUUGUCUAGUGAUUUAGGAGGAUCUAUUUCUUCAUAUGGUGUACCGUUUAAAUAUUUUUUUUAGAAAAUGACCUACACUGAUGAUGUCGGGAAGAAGAUAUUUGCUAUCUAAUAUCUUCAAGGUUACUUGGUAUACAGAGGAUUCAAUUAAAUUCUAGCA